rnacentral:rRNA from 1 species
GAGUUUGAUCCUGGCUCAGGAUGAACGCUGGCGGCGUGCUUAACACAUGCAAGUCGAACGGACUCAUAUUGAAACCUAGUGAUGUAUGAGUUAGUGGCGGACGGGUGAGUAACGCGUGGAGAACCUGCCGUAUACUGGGGGAUAACACUUAGAAAUAGGUGCUAAUACCGCAUAAGCGCACAGCUUCGCAUGAAGCAGUGUGAGAAACUCCGGUGGUAUACGAUGGAUCCGCGUCUGAUUAGCUGGUUGGCGGGGUAAAGGCCCACCAAGGCGACGAUCAGUAGCCGGCCUGAGAGGGUGAACGGCCACAUUGGGACUGAGACACGGCCCAAACUCCUACGGGAGGCAGCAGUGGGGAAUAUUGCACAAUGGGGGAAACCCUGAUGCAGCGACGCCGCGUGAGUGAAGAAGUAUGUAGGUAUGUAAAGCUCUAUCAGCAGGGAAGAAAUGACGGUACCUG